rnacentral:rRNA from 1 species
AACGAACGCUGGCGGCAGGCUUAACACAUGCAAGUCGAACGCAUCCUUCGGGGUGAGUGGCAGACGGGUGAGUAACGCGUGGGAACGUGCCCUUCAGUUCGGGAUAACCCAGGGAAACUUGGGCUAAUACCGGAUACGUGCGAGAGCAGAAAGAUUUAUCGCUGAAGGAUCGGCCCGCGUCGGAUUAGCUAGUUGGUGGGGUAAUGGCCCACCAAGGCGACGAUCAGUAGCUGGUCUGAGAGGAUGAUCAGCCACAUUGGGACUGAGACACGGCCCAAACUCCUACGGGAGGCAGCAGUGGGGAAUAUUGGACAAUGGGCGCAAGCCUGAUCCAGCCACGCCGCGUGAGUGAUGAAGGCCUUAGGGUUGUAAAGCUCUUUCGUCCGGGACGAUAAUGACGGUACCGGAAGAAGAAGCCCCGGCUAACUUCGUGCCAGCCGCCGCAGUAA